UUUGUUCAACCAUCGAACGUAAACAAGCUAAACAGACAAACUAAUGUUACAUGUGAAAUCAAAGGUUGAAAUGGCACUGUAUGUUGCACUUCUUGGGCAGGAUUACCGGCAUUUCCAGAUGGACGAAUUCCUUCUUCCAUACGCCGGCACUCUUCAACCUCAGAUUGACCUACUGGAUGCAGAAAGUGCGAUAGCAGAGGUCCCAAUACUGGCGACCUAAUUUCGGGACCCCGAGAGGUUUUUGGACGUACACCUCCGGUAGGAUUUUGACCAAUGGGCAAGUUUCCCAAACUCGACUGUGAAACACCAUCCCCUUCAACUGCCACUUGGUUAGCAGAUGACACACUAGGGACAGCAUUGGUUAACCCAUCUCUUGCCUGAAAUCGAACGUUUCGGAACGGCAACCGAGUUCCUCCAGCGGACAGUCUACUUAGAGAAGCUUGCUGAAAUUCCGACUGUAAAUUCCCUGGGAUACGACGUUGCUCAUCGGCUUCAUGGCUUCGAUAUUCUUCACCAGCGGCUUCUUCAGCCUCCGAUUGCUCCGAUGGAACCAUAGGUGGUGGAGGAUUAAUCAGCGCUUCCGGACCCAAUACCGGAUUAUUACGAUUCAGCAGUUCUGGAGAUCCUCCGUUGGCCGACGAACCUUCCACUUGCGAUUCCACACCAAGUCGAGUGAAAUCCAGUUGGAAAAACCUUCCUGCCAAACCAAAUACAAAAUUCAUCAAGGCCACUCUGGUCUGUUCUCCAGAGUCAGUAAGAGCGCGGCAUCUCCGGAGUCGUCUAUAGUGGUGGAUCAGACGUGAUCGACACCCUAGCGAUCUACCCGCAAACAAGGAAUCCCCGAUCUGCUUCACGGCAGCAGCCACCGCCACGUACUCCUCAUUAAUGGUGUUCGAGGUUGCAUAAUCCACCAAUUCUUCAC